GUGUGUUAUGGGAUGUAUGAUUCUGGAAAGCUGGCCUGGAGCGAGAUUGAUGUGGACCUUGGAUUCUCUGCCAGGGGUUUUGAACUUUUUGCUGCUGAGAAGAGGAGCCAUUAAAGAGGGGCACCCGAGAGCAAAAAACGAGAGAGCCGAGUUUUAUCGGCCAGGCGGCCCGUGCUUAAAGGUGACAUUCGAGAGAACAAUCGCUAGGUUGUUUGGUCACCUUUGCUGUGGUCAAAGAAGGAGGAGACUCAACAGCUGUUUCUUUCUCCCUUCAUUUUUCCAACAAAGAAGCUUCAUGAGAACAUUAACACCGAAAGAAAAUUGUGUUCACUGCAGGACUUUUCAAGGAUCGGUGGAAAGAUUUAUGUAA
rnacentral:lncRNA from 1 species